GACGUAGGGCGCGAGCGUUGUCCGGAUUUAUUGGGCGUAAAGAGCUCGUAGGCGGCUUGUCGCGUCGACUGUGAAAACCCGCGGCUCAACUGCGGGCCUGCAGCCGAUACGGGCAGGCUAGAGUUCGGUAGGGGAGACUGGAAUUCCUGGUGUAGCGGUGAAAUGCGUAGAUAUCGAGAGGAACACCUGCGGCGAAGGCGGGUAGCUGGGCCGACACUGACGCUGAGGCGCGAAAGCCAGGGGAGCGAACGGG
rnacentral:rRNA from 1 species